UACGGAGGGUGCAAGCGUUAAUCGGAAUUACUGGGCGUAAAGCGCACGUAGGUGGUUUGCUAAGUCAGCUGUGAAAUCCCCGGGCUCAACCUGGGCACUGCAGUUGAAACUGGCAAGCUAGAGUAGGGUAGAGGGGUGUGGAAUUCCAGGUGUAGCGGUGAAAUGCGUAGAUAUCUGGAGGAACACCCAUAGCGAAGGCAGCUUGCUGGGACGUAACUGACGCUAAGGCGCGAAAGCGUGGGGAGCGAACAGG
rnacentral:rRNA from 1 species